AGAGUGAACGCUGGCGGCAGGCCUAACACAUGCAAGUCGAACGGCAGCACAGGGGAGCUUGCUCCCUGGGUGGCGAGUGGCGGACGGGUGAGGAAAACGUCGGAAUCUGCCUAUUUGUGGGGGAUAACGUAGGGAAACUUACGCUAAUACCGCAUACGACCUACGGGUGAAAGCGGAGGACCUUCGGGCUUCGCGCAGAUAGAUGAGCCGACGUCGGAUUAGCUAGUUGGCGGGUAAAGCCCACAAGGCGACGAUCCGUAGCUGGUCUGAGAGGAUGAUCAGUCACACUGGAACUGAGACACGGUCCAGACUCCUACGGGAGGCAGCAGUGGGAAUAUGACAAUGGCGAAAGUCUGAUCCAGCCAUGCCGCGUGUGUGAAGAAGGUCUUCGGAUUGUAAGGCUAACGUUUAAGUGGGAAGGUAAGGUUGUAAACUUAAUACGUUGCUAACGUUUGACGUUACGACAGAAUAAGCACCGCUAACUCGUGCCAGCACGCCGCGGUAAUCUA
rnacentral:rRNA from 1 species